GGGCGAUUGGUCUAGGGGUAUGAUUCUUGUUUCGGGUACAAGAGGUCCCGGGUUCAAUUCCCGGAUCGCCCC